CGCUGAAGCCGACAGCUUGCUGUUGGUGGAUGAGUGGCGAACGGGUGAGUAACACGUGAGUAACCUGCCCCUGAUUUCGGGAUAAGCCUGGGAAACUGGGUCUAAUACCGGAUAUGACCUCCUGUCGCAUGUUGGUUGGUGGAAAGUUUUUCGAUCGGGGAUGGGCUCGCGGCCUAUCAGCUUGUUGGUGGGGUAAUGGCCUACCAAGGCGACGACGGGUAGCCGGCCUGAGAGGGCGACCGGCCACACUGGGACUGAGACACGGCCCAGACUCCUACGGGAGGCAGCAGUGGGGAAUAUUGCACAAUGGGGGAAACCCUGAUGCAGCGACGCAGCGUGCGGGAUGACGGCCUUCGGGUUGUAAACCGCUUUCAGCAGGGAAGAAGCGAAAGUGACGGUACCUGCAGAAGAAGUACCGGCUAACUACGUGCCAGCAGCCGCGGUAAUACGUAGGGUACGAGCGUUGUCCGGAAUUAUUGGGCGUAAAGAGCUCGUAGGUGGUUGGUCACGUCUGCUGUGGAAACGCAACGCUUAACGUUGCGCGUGCAGUGGGUACGGGCUGACUAGAGUGCAGUAGGGGAGUCUGGAAUUCCUGGUGUAGCGGUGAAAUGCGCAGAUAUCAGGAGGAACACCGGUGGCGAAGGCGGGACUCUGGGCUGUAACUGACACUGAGGAGCGAAAGCAUGGGGAGCGAACAGGAUUAGAUACCCUGGUAGUCCAUGCCGUAAACGUUGGGCACUAGGUGUGGGGGACAUUCCACGUUCUCCGCGCCGUAGCUAACGCAUUAAGUGCCCCGCCUGGGGAGUAC
rnacentral:rRNA from 1 species